GACGGAGGUCUCAAGCGUUGUUCGGAUUUAUUGGGCGUAAAGGGUGCGUAGGUGGCGCCGUAAGUCUGGUGUGAAAUUUCGGAGCUUAACUCCGAAACUGCAUUCGAUACUGUGGUGCUUGAGGACUGGAGAGGAGACUGGAAUUCAUGGUGUAGCAGUGAAAUGCGUAGAGAUCAUGAGGAAGACCAGUGGCGAAGGCGGGUCUCUGGACAGUUCCUGACACUGAGACACGAAGGCCAGGGGAGCAAACGGG
rnacentral:rRNA from 1 species